GCGCGCGUAGCUCAGCGGUGGAGCGCCCCCUUGACAUGGGGGAGGCCGGAGGUUCGAUCCCUCCCGUGCGCACCA
rnacentral:tRNA from 1 species